rnacentral:piRNA from 1 species
UAGACGUUAGCAAGUCUUGUCUAGGUAUGAC